rnacentral:rRNA from 1 species
UACGUAGGUGGCAAGCGUUGUCCGGAUUUAUUGGGUUUAAAGGGUGCGUAGGUGGUCUAUUAAGUCAGUGCUGAAAUAUCCCGGCUUAACCGGGAGGGUGGCAUUGAUACUGAUGGACUUGAGUAAAGUUGAGGUAGGCGGAAUUGACGGUGUAGCGGUGAAAUGCUUAGAUAUCGUAAGGAAGACCAGUGGCGAAGGCGGGUCUCUGGACAGUUCCUGACGCUGAGGCACGAAGGCCAGGGGAGCAAACGGG